rnacentral:rRNA from 1 species
UCGAGAAUUUUUCUCAAUGGGCGAAAGCCUGAAGGAGCGACGCCGCGUGGGGGAUGAAUGGCUUCGGCCCGUAAACCCCUGUCAUUUGCGAACAAAUUAAUCUACCCAACACGUGGAUUAUUGAUUGUAGCGAAAGAGGAAGGGACGGCUAACUCUGUGCCAGCAGCCGCGGUAAUACAGAGGUCCCAAGCGUUGUUCGGAUUCACUGGGCGUAAAGGGUGCGUAGGCGGUCAGAUAAGUCUGACGUGAAAUCUCCGGGCCUAACCCGGAAACUGCGUUGGAAACUAUCUGACUAGAGGAAUGGAGGGGAGACUGGAAUACUUGGUGUAGCAGUGAAAUGCGUAGAUAUCAAGUGGAACACCAGUGGCGAAGGCGAGUCUCUGGACAUUUCCUGACGCUGAGGCACGAAAGCCAGGGGAGCAAACGGGAUUAGAUACCCCCGUAGUCC